CUCUUUCUUGUUGAGGACGGA
rnacentral:snRNA from 1 species